GCAUAGAGGAAGUAAAAAGUCGUAACAAGGUCUCCGUUGGUGAACCAGCGGAGGGAUCAUUACCGAGUUUACAACUCCCAAACCCCUGUGAACAUACCUAUACGUUGCCUCGGCGGAUCAGCCCGCGCCCCGUAAAACGGGACGGCCCGCCCGAGGACCCUAAACUCUGUUUUUAGUGGAACUUCUGAGUAAAACAAACAAAUAAAUCAAAACUUUCAACAACGGAUCCUUGGUUCUGGCAUCGAUGAAGAACGCAGCAAAAUGCGAUAAGUAAUGUGAAUUGCAGAAUUCAGUGAAUCAUCGAAUCUUUGAACGCACAUUGCGCCCGCCAGUAUUCUGGCGGGCAUGCCUGUUCGAGCGUCAUUUCAACCCUCAAGCUCAGCUUGGUGUUGGGACUCGCGGUAACCCGCGUUCCCCAAAUCGAUUGGCGGUCACGUCGAGCUUCCAUAGCGUAGUAAUCAUACACCUCGUUACUGGUAAUCGUCGCGGCCACGCCGUAAAACCCCAACUUCUGAAUGUUGACCUCGGAUCAGGUAGGAAUACCCGCUGAACUUAAGCAUAUCAAUAACG
rnacentral:rRNA from 1 species